UCAAUCUCCGCGCGAUCUUUUUCGCGCGUGUAUUUAAAACCCACCCUUUUUUUGAAAAAAGAAUUUUUACAUAUUUAUUUACUUGAAAUGAGUAAUUAAAAAAGA
rnacentral:misc_RNA from 1 species